rnacentral:rRNA from 1 species
GGAAGUAAAAGUAGUAACAAGGUUUCCGUAGGUGAACCUGCGGAAGGAUCAUUAACGAUUUGCACAAAAAGCAAAAGAACCGUGAAAAGUUGUGGAUGAAACUCCUGACGAGCUCAGGAAGGAUCCGUGGUUGUGUUAGUUACCAACUCCUGCUGACGAGAUCAGGAGAGAGGAGGAUAACGACCAACACACACGCAUGAGGGAAAAGGAGUCGCUUAAACCAGCAGUUCGCAAGAAAGAAUCUCUUUCUUAGUUUGGUGAAUACCUACUGACGAGCUCAGGAAGGAUUCUAGUCGCCGGGUUAGCUACCGGCUUCUCUCCUGACGACAUAGGGAGAGAGGUGGUGGCCCGAUAGACCUUCGACACCAAAUGAACUGCUGUGUUUCCAUGUCAAUCCUACUGACGAGCUCAGCAAGGAUCCGUGGGUGUGUUAGUUACCAACUCCUGCUGACGAGAUCAGGAGAGAGGAGGAUAACGACCAACACACACGCAUGAGGGAAAAGGAGUCGCUUAAACCAGCAGUUCGCAAGAAAGAAUCUCUUUCUUAGUUUGGUGAAUACCUACUGACGAGCUCAGGAAGGAUUCUAGUCGCCGGGUUAGCUACCGGCUUCUCUCCUGACGACAUAGGGAGAGAGGUGGUGGCCCGAUAGACCUUCGACACCAAAUGAACUGCUGUGUUUCCAUGUCAAUCCUACUGACGAGCUCAGCAAGGAUCCGUGGGUGUGUUAGUUACCAACUCCUGCUGACGAGAUCAGGAGAGAGGAGGAUAACGACCAACACACACGCAUGAGGGAAAAGGAGUCGCUUAAACCAGCAGUUCGCAAGAAAGAAUCUCUUUCUUAGUUUGGUGAAUACCUACUGACGAGCUCAGGAAGGAUUCUAGUCGCCGGGUUAGCUACCGGCUUCUCUCCUGACGACAUAGGGAGAGAGGUGGUGGCCCGAUAGACCUUCGACACCAAAUGAACUGCUGUGUUUCCAUGUCAAUCCUACUGACGAGCUCAGCAAGGAUCCGUGGGUGUGUUAGUUACCAACUCCUGCUGACGAGAUCAGGAGAGAGGAGGAUAACGACUAACACACACACACACACACACACACACUCAGCACACACCCCUGACGAGCUCAGGGAGGAUCAAUGCUCACGCAUCAUCUUGGUCGUGGUACUCCCAUUCCACGGACGAUGUAAAACAAACACCCUUUGGCCUCAUAUAUUAUUAUCUCUCGCCAUGGUAUACAGGCCUGGCACCUGGUACGAGACUCUCGUAGUCUUCAAACCAACUUACAACUCUGAGCGGUGGAUCACUUGGCUUGUGGAUGCUAUGAAGACCAUAGCUAAGUGUGAGAAUGGCAGCGAGCCGUCGCUAUAUGCGCUGUCCUCUUCUUAUCACAUGUCGAAUGCACAUUGCGCCCCACCCAGUGGUCGGCUAAACAACCUGCAGACAAAAGCCUGUGCGUUGGAACAAAGGUGAAUGUGUGGCCUCCGAGCCUCGGCGGGGGAGCCAGGAGCACAGGAUCGUGCGUUUCAGCCACUCGUUAGUAGUCAGGCUGAACCCUAUGGUGGGGCACUCCUAGUCGAGUGUGGUGGAUCGGACUCAUCUCUUACCUCACCGCCGAGUGUGUGUGAGUGCAGAGAGCUUGAGUUUCUUUGUUGCUUGGUGGCAUUUGGGUCGACAUCAGUCGUGCCUGUGAACAAACUGCCUUGGCUCGAGCCUCUGUGCGUAUCCUCACGUAGGUGCGUGCAUUGAAGGCCAUAGCUGGCGAUCUCUCUUGCGGCCAGGGCACCGAGCAUUCGGUGCGCAGCGGUCCAAAAGGCUUUUACGGGAGUGUGUGUCGAAUUCUCAGCAUAUCACCAGCGCGUUGUCUUGGCAACAGGUGCUCUGGAAUUAAGUGUUUCUCUGGUGAAGGUUCGUUGCUCUCGUAGUAUUCGGGAAUGAUGACGCCUUAACAUUUUCACCGCUCGCUCGCACUGUCUGUCUGUCUGAUAAUCCUCCUGACGAGCUCAGGAAGGAUCCAUGGGUGUGUGUUGGUUACCUACUCCUGCUGACGAGAUCAGGAGAGAGAUAGGAUCAUAACGACACAAGCCCUUAGCAUGGUGAAAAAAGAGCCGGAGAAACAAAGCACUUGUUGGCACAAAGGUAACGUGAAAAGUCGCUGGAAUGGGCGAGAGUUGCAGACGCACACUCUGAUUUGCAUUGCCACCACCUCGACUUAGGAGAGGUUACCCGCUGAACUUAAGCAUAUCAGUAAGCGGAGGAAAAGAAACCAAUCAGGGAUUCCCUUAGUAGGGGCGACCGAAAAGGGAUGAGCCCAGCGCAGAACCUCCCGGGCCACCCGGCCUGCGGCGGAAUGUUGCGUUAAGGGAAAGGUCGUAGUCAAACCCCACAGCCACGCGAGCACUAAGUAAGUCACGAAUUGGCUGACCCAACUAACGGCGGGGAUGUCUCCAUGGAGGGUGUAAGACCCGUGUGGGCGCGUGUAAAUGCUGUGUGGGCUCGGCCUCUUUUCCCUGAGAGUCGCGUUGCUUGAGCAUGCAGCGCUAAGCAGGUCGUAAACUCGAUCUAAGGCUAAAUAUAUCCACAAGACCGAUAGCGAACAAGUACCGUGAGGGAAAGUUGAAAAGCACUCUGAAGAGAGAGUCAAAAGACCGUGAAACCGCUCAGAGU